rnacentral:rRNA from 1 species
CAAACUUGAGAGUUUGAUCCUGGCUCAGAACGAACGCUGGCGGCAUGCCUAACACAUGCAAGUCGAACGAGACCUUCGGGUCUAGUGGCGCAC